GCCAGGUGUGGUGGCUCACACUUGUAAUCCCAUCAGUUCAGGAGGCUGAGGCAGGAGGAUUGCAAGUUCAAAGCCAGCCUCAGCAAUUUAGUGAGGCCUUAGGCAAACUAGAGAGACCCUGUCUCUA
rnacentral:sRNA from 1 species